CCUGUAAAAUAUUAUACAAUUAAGAAAUCAGACAAUUAGAAUUAUGCCACUCUAUUUUCAUUAGCAAGAUGUAUUACGUCAAGAACUGUUUGCUCAAACUUAAUUAUGCCAAUGUUAUGGAAGUUCCUGAUAUACAGGCACACACAACAGAUGUUCUCAUUUUUUUAAAUAUAAAUUUGGGGUUUUACAAGAAUUUCACAAUAGUAAACCACUGAAGAAUUAUACACACGCAUAUAUGAGAGCAGGUUCAAGGGAUUUUUUUUAAUACAAUUUUACAUAUAAAUUUCUAACAAUUAGGUUAAAGUUUAUCAUAUGGUUAAUAUUAAAACUGCAUGCAGUUUUAUAAUUCGAAAAAUUAAUUAACUAAACGCAAGUCCCUACGUCAAACAAUAAACGUGAAACACGACGCUUUUUCCUCUCUCUUAUCAUCUUAAUUUAUUUAAACUAAGUAAUUUCAUUCAAAGAUUGAAAUUACACUUCAUUUCGGAGGAAGAUCUUCCAAUCAAAUUACAGGCAACUUAAAAUUAAAAGCUGCCUUAGCUAACACGAGUAUGCGUGUUGCAGGCUCUUCGGAUGAACUGAAUUCUAAAUCAGCAUUGUCCUUAAUUUCCUCUUGAAUGUCCAACAACACUUAAAAGAUUUCCUUUGCUUGACAUCAUGUUUAGGACAUUCAUACAUUUCUCUUUUUAACUUAUGUGCUCAUCUCCUUCAAUCCGCCCUCUACUCAUUAUAAAACAUUUUUUUUUAUUCUGAUGGCUGUUGGAUGGAUGUUACUACUACAAAUUAAAAUAUAGUACUUCCCUAGUUCUUUGUAUGUUUACUUUAGUUAUCCAGUAAAUCGAAACGUGAUUAGAUGACUAUGCUUUGUUAAUCUUUAAAAAAAUAUAUGUAGAAACGAUUGCCAACAUUUGUUUUCCAAUAUUUACAUUUGGUUUAAUAAACAAAUUUAUGUAGAUAACAUCUUUUUGUAUGGCUACAUGGAUGUGUACCUUAGUUCACUGGUAAUUUAGAGGGAGAAAUAAAGGGUAAUACAAAGGUGAGAGAAAAAUAUUUUACUUAUACGAUUAAAUUUAAUAAUAUGGCACCUACGCGAAUUAAUUAGUUUUUUAAAAUAACAAAAUUACACGUGAGCUUUAGUAUUAAUCCUUGGACGAACUCUAUUAGAAAGAAAUUUUUUUCUAAAAGUAUCUUUUUUAAACUUGCCCCCAAAAUAAGGAAUCUUCUAAAAAAAAGGAAAAAAGAAAACAAACAUUCCAAGUAUUAUCCUUAGUUUAUCCUUUAUUUUAAUAAAGUAAGGAAGCCUUAUAUAUAUAUAUAUAGAUAGAUAGUAAUGAUCUAAUCCAAAAUUUUGGGUUUUGUUAAAAACCAAAAAAAAAUCAUAAUUUCAAAUGGUUCAAUAGUCCAUUAUACUAUUAAAUCAUAUGACUUACUAGAUUUUUCGGACUUUAACAAAAUUUGUGUAGUGAGAGAGAGAGAGAGAGAGAGAGAGAGAGAGUCCUUCUUUAGUAAUGAAAUCUUCACUUUUUUAAAAUGAGAAUGUUACUAAAAUAUAAAAAAAAACACAUAUUUCAAUACAUUAGAAAUUGUGUUUUUUUUAUUUAUUAGUAGCAUUCUCAAUUUAACAAAGUGAAACAUAUAUAUAUAUAUAUAUAUAUAGUCCUUCUCUAAGGUGGGUGCCUUUAUUUUUUUUUAAAUGAGGACACGCUAUUAAACCGUACGAUUUAACGGUGUUCUUCAUUAAUUCUAUUAAAUCGCACGGUACAACAAAGUGUUUGCAUUAAAAAAAAAAUUAGGGUGCCCACCCUAGCGAAUGACUAUAUAUAUAUUUAUGAGAGUUGUUGCACUUUAAUAAAGUGCAAGAAAAUUGUUACCGCAUAUGGUAUAAUAGUGUAAUGUCCCGACAAGUACUCGUAUAUAUAACAUGAGAUUAAUAAUCAUACGUGGAUGUGAUGGGGCAUGGUCAAUAACAUGAGGCUGGUCGAAAUUGAUGCCCUUAAUAUAGGGGUACUUGGUAGUGAUGGCUUGAAGAGUAACACCGAGACUGCCACCAACAUCGACCAGUUGCUUGAUGUUGUCGAAGCCCUUGUAAGAUUCAAGAAUGUUGCUCAUAACCAGGGAGGUAUAGUUAUACAUUGCUGUGUUAAAAUGUUUAUUGAACCUAGGGUCCAAUCCUGCGUACUCAAAUACAUGCACUCCAUGGGCUCGAUUAAAUGGAAUUCCUCCUUCAAGAAUAGCAUCUUUGAGUUGGGACCUACAUAAAUUCCGAAAAACCAAUUUAUCAUGCAUCGUCUAUAUAUAUGCUCCAUGCAUGCAUGCAUGCUCUAGCUAAUCAUUUACUAAGAAAAAGAGAGAAAUAGAAAUUAAUUAAUUACCAGCUUUCCAGAAGGACCUUGUCCUGAUUCAUUUGUAAUAGGGGGCCUAGUAAGACGCCAUCUUUGUUAGGCACAUAGUAUUUGGAGACAGAAUUCAAACUAUAUAGUCUCCGAGCACCAGAAGCAUCAAGUGAGCAUUCAACAACACUGUAGCUAGCCAGAAGCCUGAGAAUCCGAUCCAGCAUCAUGGGUGCGUCUUUGUUCUUGGUAAGCAAUUGGGCUGCAAUAUCUGAAGCACAGAGCUUUGCACCAGGACCAACUUUGUCUAGGAUCUCGAAAAUGCCCAGCUCAUACACCGCUUGAAUGGCCAUGGGUAGCACUGUACCCAUCACCAAUUGACUAGCAUAUGCAAAGCUUUGGUCUCUUUCUCCAUCAACUAUAGAAUCCAUUUUAAAUUUCUUGAAUUUCUUGUACGCUUUGCGGGGUUUCUUGUUUGGCCAGGGGGUUAUAUAUAGACUUGUCAUUCAAAACUAUCAAGAGUUUGCCAAUAUAGACUUGGUCAUUCAAAACUAUCAAAAGAGAGAUGGGAUUGACUAAUGAAUUAAAAUUAGAACUUUGCCAAUAUUUAAAAUUUUCUUUGAGCUAUAUAAUUUAUGCAAUCUUUGAGGCUAUUUUUAUGUUUUAUUUAAAGUUUGUUGUUCUUUUUAUUUAUUUAUUUUUUUAAAAAAAUGAUGUUUGUGGGUAUCGUCACUAAAGCCAUCACGAGACUAUAACUCGUCCACUAGGGCCGUCUAGGGGUUUAAAGGCUUGUUGCAUACGUUAAAUGCAAUCGCGAUUACUUGGAAAAGUAGUUUAGUUAGGAUUUACUUUUUGUUUCAUUGUUUUUAUUUUUGUUUUAAGUUUUAGUUUUGCUCGAGGACUAGCAAAAUCUAAGUUUGGGGGUAUUUAAUGAGCAUAAUUUAUAUACAUAUUUUACCCUUUCUUAUAUAUUUGCUAGUUAUUUUUUUUCUUAUUUUUAAUUAAUUGAAUUGUUUUAUUGAAUAGGGAAUUAAUUUGAGAUUAUGGAUAAAAAGGAUAUAAAAGAGCUCAAUUUUGGAAGCAUUAAAGAUUAAUUGAUUUUUGGAAGUAAUUAGACAUACAUGCAUGUGGAAAUCAAGCCAAGGAACCGAAUUCAACAAGUUAAUUCAUCAUGCACAUGCGGACAAAAGAGAGAAUUUGAUUUUAGCUUUAAAAAAGACCCGCAAUUGGCUUUCAUAAAUGAAAAAAGAAUCCUAUUGCAAUUCUAAGUGCCCAGCACGUGAGUGAAGCAAAACAAAUAUGCUUUAGAAUUGAUAAGGUGGGGCCCAUUUUAAAGACUAUAUAAACAAGCCUUUGGCUUUUGAAUGAAAAGUAGCCGCCAGAGGAAGGAAAAAAAGAACAGACGCGAUUCGGGAGAAAAUCAGCUGCAGCAGUUCGGCUUCAAUGGAUGAUUUUAUAUUUUUUUGUUGCUCUCAAUUUAAGUAUAUCUAACUAAUUUUUUUAUACUGAGGUUAAGGAUGAAAUCUUAUUCAAUAAAAUAAUUAUCUUUUUAUUUAAUUAAUUCCCUACAUGUAUGCUUUAAUGAUUAUGGUUUUUAUUUCACAUGAUUAAUUUGAUGUUAUUAAAAUCUUUUCAUCAAUUCUGUCAUGCAUUAUUAAUUGUUAAGAUUAAUAUUUGAUUAAAUCUAUGCUUGGAUCUAUAAAGUUUAUACAUGAUUUUUUUUAGGGGAAAUCUUCAGUCAUAUACCCUUAAAUGACAUCAGUAUCAAACGUGUUAUAACAUUUUUAAAUGUAUCACUCGUAUACCCUAAGUUGACAAAACACUUCUGCCGUCCACCGAUCCGUUAACUGCCGUUUGCGAGCGCUGACAUCAUAAGGGUGAUCUAGUCUUUUUUAAAAACGACAUGUCAUCCCAUUUACCUAGUAAAAAAUGACAUGUCAUAUGAUAUAUUUUGAUAAAAAUGACAUGUCAUCCCAUUUAUCGGAUAAUUGUUAAUAAUUGUAAAAAAAAAAAAAGCUACUUUACAACUGAAUUUACUCUUCCAAAAUUUAACCAAAAUUAUUGAAGAUCUACUCCUCCAAGCUCCAACUUGAGUUUUUUAUGGUAUAAUAUGUAUAAUUAUAAAUAAUAUGUUGUUAAUAAUUUUUUAUGGUAUAAGAUGAAUAUUUUUUAUGGAUAAUUGUUAAUAAUAUGUACCAUUAAUAAUUUAUAUUUUUUUAAUAAAAAAUGUAUUGUUAAUGACAAAAUAAAAAAAAUUGUGUAUUGAAAAUUUACAUUAAUUUUCAAGGUAAAUUUAUUUUUUUACCUCAUUUUGAGUUUAAAGGGUAAAAUAGUCAUUUUGCUCAAAUUCUAUUAAGUUCUUAACGGUAGUAAACGGAAAGGUGGACGCCAGAACUCUUUUGUCAACUUAGGGUAUACGAGUGAUAUAAGUGAAAAGUAUUGUAGUACGUUUGAUACCGGUGACAUUUAAGGGUAUACCGGUGAUAAUUUCCCUAUUUUUUAUUCUAUAUCUUUCUUUAAAUUGUUUACAUAGAGUGUUUAGGAAAACUUUGACUCUUUGUUAUUCAAUAUGUUUACAUGGGAUGCUUAGAUGUCAUACUAUUAAGCAGAAAAAGCACCUACAUUAGAUUUAAUUACUUGGGUUUAAUUGUUAUAUCCAUGAGAUGACAUAGAUUGAUUUCGAGUUAUCACUCUAAAAUUGGAGAUUAAUUAAUAAUUAGAUAAUUAUUAGUUGAAUAGUGGUGGAUUAUGAAAUCUUAGUAACUUUUGUCUUAUUGAUUUCUCAUUUACUUUAAUUGUUUUUUUAGUUUAAUUAGUUUAAUUUCUCUUAAAAAUUCAAUUUGCUCAAUUAGGUUAGAAUUAAUAUUAAUUUUAAAUUUAAAUUAGACUUUUUAAUUUAUAACAAUCCAUGUAUGAUCAACCUCAUUACCACUAUUCUAUCUCUAAAUUUAUGCGCUUGCGAGUAUAUUAAAAUUUUUGACAACAUGUUUACUGGUUGUUAAUUUCAAAAAGUUAAGCCUGCAACGCGAAAAGGACAGAAGAUGCCAUAAAAGGGGCUUUAGCCCUCUGAACCAUUUUUUUUUAAGUGUGCCCCGAGCACCUUCUGAAUGAGUUAAAUGAAAAGCAUUUAGAAAUAUUUUUUAAAUAAUAAAACACUUGUAGCCCAAUGGUACACAUGUUACUUAGUGGUUUUAGAGACUUGAUUCGAAUCCCAAUAAUUUUUUUGAAUGUGUGCAUGGUCCUCAAUAUUUUUCACGUUCAAUAUAAAAUUAAUUGAAGAAAAAAUGUUGGCCUAGUUAGAGGUAGGUUAUAGGUAGGUAGGGUUUUAAGAAAAAAAGUAAAACUUUAUUUGCGGGACGCAAUUAAAAAACAUGGGUCCGAAAUAUUAUUGAAAACUAAUUUAAGAGAAAAUGUUGGCUUAGUUAGAAGUAGGUAACAAAUAGGUACGAUUUCAAGAAACAAGUAAUACUUUAUUUGCAAGAUCCGAUUAGAAAACAUGGAUUUGAAAUACUAAAAAGAGUAUUUUUUGUAUAAAAAUUUGAGGAGUGUUAGCGACAAUCGCCUAUCGUGACUAGUGUCUUGGUCCUUAAUUUUUUUUUUCACGUUCAAUAUAAAAACUAAUCGAAAAGAAAAUGUUGACCUAGUUAGACAUAGGUAACAAGUAAGGUUCUAAAAAAGAGUAAUACUUUAUUUGCAGGGCCCGAUUAGAAACACAUGCCGAAACAUUAAUUAAAAAAGUAUUUUUAUAUAAAAUUUUGAAGAGUGCUAGCAACAGUUGUCCUUACAGAUGACUGAGACAGUCAUUACCAAUCCCUCUCAAAUUUAAGUGUUUGGUCCAGCCACCGAAGAGAACCCAUGUGUGAUUAUGUACUAUAGGUGCAUUUGGUACAUUGUUAUUAUAUUAUAUGUUUUGCAUUAUUUUAAUACAAGCAUAUUGCAUUAUAUUGUAUUGCAUUAACACUUUAUUUUAUUAAUAUUGUGCAGCAUUUAGUGUUAUAUUGUACUAUAUUAAUUUUUAAUUAUACUAUGUUUGGUAUUGCAUUGCAUUGUACUAUAUUUUUUUGGUUAUCAUAAAAAUUAUAUUUUUAGAAAAUAAAUAUUUACUUUUUGAUAACUUUGUCAAAAAUUCUUUUUGUCAAAAAUAUUUUAAUAAACUUUUCAAUGAUAUAUCUUUCAAAAUAAAAAUCCAAGUGAAUAAAAUAGAUAACUUAAAAAAUAUCCUAACAUAAAUAAAUAAUUAAAACAUAUAGGCUUUGUUUAAAAAAAAGACAUAAUAGAGAUAAUUAAUACAAAAGUUUGCACAUACUAUAACAUAGUCACAAAUAAAAGGAGUUGCAUUUUUAAAACGGGUUGCUUUGUCUCAUACAUCAAAUCAAGAUAAAUAAUUGUGGAUGGAUAGAGACAAACACAACUUUCACUCAAUCCUUCGAUAAGAUGUAUUAUUUCCCAACUAUCCAAAUGUUAGUUAAUUUGUGACCACUACUCAUCCUCGCAAUCAAGAAUUUAUUCUAUUACAUGUCUAAGAAAAAAUGUUAUUAAAUGGACAGCAAAAGAACCACAACUACAUCAUUUCGAAGCAAUGUACAUAACAAAUGGACUUAUGUACCAAGCUUGGCCUACCAUGCAUGUAUGUUAUGCAAAAUAUUGCACAAUAUGCAAAAAUGUGGUUGCAUGUGUGGAAAUUUAACCACAUAGGUAGAAUAAGUGCAAUUUUACUAAGUUGGACGAACAUGCCCCAUAAGCUAUCUAGAUGUAAUGGGAUGCUGAGAUGAGCGAUAGGAGAAUGCAAAAUGGAAGCUGAUGCCAAGUAGUUGUCGAUGUAGAGUUUAUGUCAACUUAGGAGUGCUUACAAGUUCCAAAGAUGAACCAACAUAAUUUUAGUUCUAAACAUGCACUGAUGUUGAAAGAAACAUGUGAGAUGAAAAGUUGAUGCCAAGUAGUUGUCGAUGUAGAGUUUAUGUCAACUUAGGAGUGCUUACAAGUUCCAAAGAUGAACCAACAUAACUUUAGUUCUAAACAUGCACUGAUGUUGAAAGAAACAUGUGAGAUGAAGUGCCUCGAGAUGCUGUAAAUGCAGUUGGAUCUCAAUCAAAUGCAUGAUUUUUUGGGAAAAAAGCUUCUUACAAUAAGAUCACUGAAAAACAUCGAUCAUAAUAUUAUCACCAUCAUUAUUUUCCCCAUUUUUGGAAUGUGAGAGUUGAUUAUGAGAAUUUUUUUUAUCUUUGUAUCAUGUGACUAAGAUGCUGGAACAACUUUAACCAUCUUUCAAAUACAACUCAAAGAUUAGAAAAUACAAACUGUUGAUGAAGAAAUCUGGUCGGCUAUUGCGUGAAUAGGUGCCCACACCAACACUUAAAUUGCUAUUGAGGAGAUGAUUUAACACUACAACUUUACUGAAUUAGUAGUUGUAGGCAAAUUAACAUGCAUGAAAACCAUGUGCGAACAAGGUGGAUAAAAAAGCCCAUCUAGCCCAAGUCCGUAAGCUUUCGGCCCAUCUUUCUACGCGAGGAAUUAGAUAAGAGCUUAAGAGAAAAUGCUCGGACUAGGCCCAGCACUCUAUUUUUUUUUUUACAAAAUAAAUUUAUAAAUUAGAACAAUAUAUUAAAAUUUAAAAAAAAAAAACUUAAAUUCUUAAUUCAUAAAUCAAUAAUGAUUCACAAAACCUAAAAUUAUAAUAUUAAUCUCUCUCUUAAGCAGUAAUUAAUUAAAAUGAUGUUUAAAUUAGAAAAUGCAGUAUUAAAAAAAUUAAAUCUUUAGCAUUUAUUUGCUUAAUUUUCUUCAUUUAUUAUUUUAUUUUAAAAUAUUUAAUUUCUUUAACUCAUUGUUAAUUAUAACAACUUGUUAAUUAUUAAUUCAUUUCAAAUUUACAACAAUUAAAAAAAAAAAGUGAAAGUCCAAGCCUUGUCCUCAUGCUUCUACUAAAAUGGGCUUGGGCUCAGAAAAGCUUGACCUAAGCCCACAUUUUGUCAUCCCUAUGUUCAUAUUAGGUAGGAUUGUCAACUUCAAAUUAUUAAUAUUAGGGGCUGCAAAAUGAAUAAACGAAUUGAAUUUGAAUCAACUUAAUAAACGAAUUGGGUCAAAUUUUGAUGGAUUCGAAUUUGAUUUAUUUAAUAAGUAAAUCGUAAUUUUAUAAUUUUAAUUCAAUUUAUUUAUUAAAUGAAUCAAAUAUUCAUUCACAAUUCAUUUAUGUAGAAUAAUUAUUUUUUUCUUGUUAUUACAUCUUAUAAUUACGAAUAAAAAUUUAAUGGUAAAUAAAUAAUUGAAUCAAACGGAUAAUAAAUGAAUAGUGUCAUAUUCGAUUGAUUUAUAAGCAGUUUAUUAAAAGAAAGAAUAAACCAGUGAUCACAAAUUUGAAUUCGAUUCGUUUAUUUAGUAAAUUGAAUCAAAUUCAUUUAUUUAUUAAAUGAAUUAAUAUUUUCAAACUCAAAUCUAAUUUAAUUUGACUCCAGUUGAAUCGAAUCGAAUAAAUAAAUUUUCGUCCAAAUUGCCAGCCCGUAUUAAUAUGCCUACAAUACCAAGUGGACGGAAGAUGUCAUAAAAAUCUUUAUGGACUCUUAAAGCAUUUGCUAUCGGCUGACGCUGUUAAACACAUAAGAAAUUCAGGAAAAUUAAUUAAACAUGGCUUCAUAUCAUUCUACUAAUCAGCCAGACCCAGUUGGAUCCAAUGUACUGAUCACCCAUCAGCCAAUUGGUGAUGAGUACUAGCAAGCUUUAAUUGCAAGCAGUGAUUGAGCGACUUCUGGCGUUUCAAUUGUGAUGCCAAUCUGGAACUUGGUUGGAUCUCGCUCGUGUCUUUGACCAAAAGCAAAGGGCUCGUGGACAUUAAACAAAAAGAAUUGUUUUUUCAGACCUUAUCAGGCCAUUUACUUCGUUGUGUUGAAGGCUUUGUUUCAAAGCCAGAGACAAAAUCAAUAUAUAUAUAUAUAUCACGUACAGAUAUUCGUAUUUUUUAAAAUAUGAAUUUAUUAUACAAUAUAGUAAAUUCUUAUUUAAAAUAUGAGAACAUUCGCGAGAGAGAGAGAGUCUCCUUCUUUUCUAGCGAAAAUAUUUUCACUUUAUUAAAAUUAAAAUGUCACUAAAAUAUAAAAAUAUAGAUUUUAAUACAUUAAAAACUUUAUUUUUUUCUUUUAGUAUAUUAAAAUUUAUGUUUUUUUUUAAAUUUUUUAUUGACAUCCACACCUUAAUAAAGUGAGGAUGUCGGCCUUACUAUAUAUAUAUAAUCUUUUAAUAUUUUAACUUAAUUCCCGCAUUAAAAGCUAACUCUUGCAUAAUUACCCUAAAGAAUCAGCUUAACAGAAGUACCAAUUUGUGAUAGUGUACUAUGUGUCGUACGUUUAUGGCACUGGAGCCACAUUCAAUUUGUGCUUGGUCCUCAAUUUUUUUCAUGUUCAGUGUAAAAACUAAUUGUAGAGAAAAUCUAGGCCUAGUUAGAUGUAGGUUAGAGGUAGGUAGGUUUUAGGAAAAUGGGUCCUCUUAAUAAUAUAUAGCGUUGUAUGAGAUACAACGGAAGUUCAGUUUUUGUUUUUAAUAAAUUAUAAUUUUGAGUAUGUUUUAAAAUAUAUUUUUAUGUUGAGAGGGAUUUUGAUAGUCUCCUAAAUUAAAUGAAGUUUUUAAUAUUUAGUUAAAAGAUGAGGUAGCCACGUGUAAUUACCUUGAUAUCUGCCAGCUACAAGGCUAUACCAUUUAUUUCGGUGACCAUUUAAUGCCUAAAAUCAUCACCCAGCCGUUAUAUUAUUUUUUUUAUUUUGACAUUAUAAAUCUAUAAAUAUUUUGUAAUAUAAAAAUUAGUGAAACCUCUUUGAUUUUUAUCGUUUUGGGAGUUUAUGUCUCUUUGAUCAAUUCUAUGAUGGUGCAGUGCAGUCUACACAUAUAGACCAAUAACAUAUCAAUUUUUUUUUCUAAGCAUUUAGAAGAAAUCAAAUCCAAAAUGCACCAUAGAGGAAUUCAAAUUGUAUCCAUCAAUAUCGAUAUGAGAAUUAAAAUAGUUUAUCAUUCUAAACCUCAGAUAGUUUUCAAACAACUAUAUUAUUUGAUAGUGCCAAGUAUCAUAUUGUCCAUAAAAUAUUGCUGUUUUUAAUAUUAUUUGUACUAAUGACUCAUAUAAUUAAUAAUACGAUUUAAUUCUUGAUAUGGACAACUAUAAGAUAACAAUAUCUAAUUAAAAAUAUUUCAUACAAAUUUCUAUCAAAUUAAUUAAAUUACUUUUUAUCGUUUCAUUUACUCACUAAUUUGAAAUCACAAAAAUUUCUUUGAGUUGUUAUCGAAGCUUAUACAUGAUUACAUGUAACUUUAAUACUUGAUGAUAUUGUUUUACUACUAGCAUUAUGAUUGAUGAUACUAUAACUCUUAACAUCUAUUACUAACAUUGUUAAUAAGUAUAUUUGUUAGCCAAUACUAUUAUUAUUAUUUGUAAAUAGAACACAUAAAUGAUAAUUUUAUCAGGCCUCCAAACUCGAACUCAAAAUAUUUUUUUAACUCAAAUUUUAUUUUAAUUUAACCAAAUAAUAAAUAAUAAAAAAUAAGACCCUAGGUCUAAACUCACGGCCUCUCUCAAAGCACUAGACUCUACCCAUCGUCACCUCCAAGUUCCCAACGGAGCUUCCUUUCCUGGCCACGUCCAAAAGACCAAGCUUUGCCGUCAACACCAAAACACCAAGUUUUCAAACUUUUUCGUCAGUCUGUGUGCGCUCCACUGAAAUUGUAUGGCACAGUGGCCACUGGGCAGAAGAAAACAUGUUAAGGAAAAAAAAAAUUCUCACAAGAACCAACUAGCUAUAAAAUGCAAGAAAGCAUCAAAUGCGGCAUAUUAUUUAUUAGCAUACCUUUCAAUAUUCCUUUUAUUCACCUCUUGGUUAUCGGCACCGACAACACCUGGAUAUUCAAUAACACGAAGCACUGAAAACGCAUCUCCAACUCUUUCACCUUCAAAUUCAAAUGGUGAUUUGUUGGGACAAGAAAUCCUUUGGUGAAAACCAUCACCUAUAUCCAAGAAUAUUCAUGUUAUAUCACAAAAAAUCAAUAACAAAAUUAUGCGGAAGUGUACCUGAAUCUAUAACAUUGAAUUGCUCUCUAGGAUUGUGUGGUUGGCCUUCCAAAUCUACACGUUCUCCUAGAGAAUCCUUUAAGUUUUCUCAAGGCUAUCUUUCUGACGAUCGGAUUUCAGAAAGAAUAUAAAAAUAUGUGUGACAUGAGAACCAUAACCACUUAUCUAGACAACUUUUUUCUAUUGUCUUUACAUAUUAAAUGCCCAUAUCCUAUUAGAUAUAUUAAAGUCUGUAACACAUAAUUAUUCACAUAUAGGCCCAAUAUUGGAUUAAGGAUCCAACAAUAUUGGAUUAAAAAUUCAAUAAUCUCCCACUUGUGCUAUAUGUGUAACCUUAUAAUUAUGCUUUGUAAAAGUAACUCAAGAUCGAAAUACACCACUAAUGCCAUUUUAAUCCUGAAAGAGUCUUUCAAAGAAACCAGAGAGAAAGUUACUUUAUAGUCAAUGCCUUCUUUCUGCGUAAAAUCGUUUGCGACAAGACGCACCUUGCAUCUCUCUACAUUACCUUUCGAAUCCCUCUUGGUCUUAAAUAUCUAUUUGCAACCAAUAGGUUUCGCACCUUCUGCCAAUGGGACAAGAUCCGAUACGUCAUUGUCUUUCAUGGAUUUUAUCUCCUCAUUCAUGGCAUCAAUCCACUUCUGAGAGUUAAAACUUUUCAUGGCCUGACAGAAAUUGAUUGGAUCAUCUUCCAUCACUCCAAUGUCUGCCUCAUGUUCUUAGAGAAAUAUAAUAUUCCCCUAAAACUAAGCAAACAAACCCCCAACUCCCAAGCAACAGUCGAACAUCUCCACACACCACCAAAACAGUCAUCAUUUCACCUCUCCCACAUUAUCAACUAUCACUCAACCUCCCUUUUAUCUAUCUCACAUUCAUCAAACUAUUAUAUUUAUCUAAGUAUUGAAGACAAAAUCAAGCAACAAACUAAAGAAUAAUAAGAAGUUAGGGUUAGUAUUUCUUCAAUAUUUAUCUUUUAUUUUUUUGUUGGGUUUCAUACAAAAGAUCGGUUGCUCAUUUUACUACAAUGUGGGUACAUUAAAUAGUUAAUGUGAGGUCAUAAAUUUAUAAAUUAGUAAAAUUCCAGUAAAAUUCGAAAAAAAUGGGUUUUAAACAAUGUUGAAGACGAAACCCAAAAUCCAAGUGACAAGUACCUGUCGCCCAAACUUAGAAUGACUUGUCGUACCGGUCGCUUGGAUUCCGGUAUUCAUCACCCAGAUGACAUAAUACUGCAUAUUGGGCAAUUAGUACUCAUAUCACCGAAUAUACAAUCGCUUGUAAUUUGGGUGACAUUAUCUAUCGCCUGGGCAAUAGUGCUGUCAUUCGGAUCACCUGAAUUUGUUGAUAAUUAGUUAUUUAAUUAAUAUAGUAAUAUUAUUGUUUGCAGUGCUUUUAAUAAAGUAUUAUUAUUAUUUUGCAUCAGGUUAAUAUAGUUGUUAGUUCUUAUGAUGUAUUUUGAUAGAGCGUGGGAGACUUUGAAGGAUGGUCGUAUAGAGUAUGAGAAUGGAAAAGUUACUGCAUUUUGUUUUCAAAAAGAUGUAACAUUUGAACAAUUUAUUGCAAAGUUGUAUGAAAUUUUGAAGAAAAGUUCAGAUGAAUAUUCCCUCUUGGUAAAGACAAAUGUGAAAUCAACUCAUCUGACGCAACCCAUUGAUUCACUGCCUAUAGACAUAGUGAACGAUGAAAUGGUGAGAGUGAUUAUGCGUAUGAACUCUGAUCCAAUUAACUAUGAGUGCACUUCUAUUUAUGUAACAACAAGUCCUAAAGUUCCGAUAGAACUUUCUUUGAUGCCAUCAAUUCAAACUUCCACCUUUAAACACUACUCCCCAUUCCGCUCCCAUAAUUAUCCUAUUGAUGACAAUGUUGUCAAUACAAAUGUGAAUGCAUGCAAAAACAUAUAACAUUGAGUCCCAAAUGUAUUCUAAACAUUGCAAUAGUCCAAUCAACAUUUUGAAGGAUGUAGAUCGGUUUCAGGAAGUUAAUGAUUCAUCUUAAAAUCAUCUUAUCAGUCUAUCAGUCUAAUGGCUCGUAGUCGAAGUCGAUCUAGAGUUCCAAGUCCAAUAGACCCAUUGUAGUUGAAGGCUCCAAUUGUGCCAUCAGAUUGGGUAGCUUCAGACAUGGUUGAUGGUUCUAUUUACAAGGGUAUUUGUGUGGGCCAGACCAAUUAUUUAGCAUGAAAAAACUUAAAGUAUUGUGCUCCAUUGAAAUACUGAUCACGUAUUUGCCAAGUGUUUUUCGUGCAAAUUUUCCACAUUAUCACAUUUCAAUCAUGUCACCAAGCACCAUUCUCGAAGAGAGAAACAUAACAUCUCAUUGCCAAUCCUAAACCACAUUUGGUACUCAUCAUCAACUUGUUUCAUGACUAGUCUGAGAAACAAAUAAUGUACAAAAUUGUCGCUAAAUCCUGGGGCCCCCAUCGCUAGAAAAUGACCAAAAAUUGACUUUUUGAAUAGCCUAAAUUGAGUAUCAGUUAACUUGGUCUGUAUACGCAUAAUGAAAAAAAUUAAAUCUCAUUAAAUUUGAAACGCAAUCGGUGAAAUAAUCCUCAAUUGGUAUCUUCAAUGACCAGUGAUGCAUCUACUUGUUAGACAUAUCUACGCAAUAAAUUAUGAUAGUAUUAGCAUAAAUGUUUUAAAAAAACAAAACUGAAAUAGUCAGAAAUCUUUAGGAUAACAUUGGCAUAAAUGUUUCGAAAGAAAAAAAACUGAAACAAAACAAAAAUGAUACAAUUGGAAAACUUAGGCGACGACAUGAUUCAGUUGUUGUUGCCCUUCGUUGCCCGAUACAUGGGCAACAUGAUAUAUCGCCCAACCAAAUCUUGGCAACACAAUUCUGUUGCCCAGAUUUAGUUCAUGUCGCCUAGAACGCAGGCGACAACAUGUAUUGCCCAACCAAAUCAUGUCGUCACCCAUUUGCAUGGCUGGGCGAUGCAAGCUUGUCGCCCGCGUUGCUCAGCCUCCCAUGCCACGCAUGGCCAUUUGGUUGGGUGAUGGGGGGAAGCCACCCACCUUGCCCAAGCUUAACAUGGCCAAAUUUUAGGCAACACGAGCAACCACUCAUGUUCUUGAUUGGUGGGCACACCAACCUUCUCUUUAACUUCAAAAUAAUUCUAAGUUUAGAUCAAUAAUUUCUUAAAGGCAUUUAAACAAAUACUUGGUGUGCCAUUUAUUAGAUAUCUUAAUAUUAAGAAAACUCUAAUAUUUUCAUACCCAAUACACAUCCUAAUGAUUAACUAUGAUCAAUGAUGAAUCAACUAGGCAAUUUAAACAAAAAAUUAUUCUAAAUUAAUGAAACAAAUUGUGAAAGUACAUAAGCCGCCAAAAUCGUAAGUGAAUAAAUUUGCUGGAACCAAACUAUAACUCACAUAAUUGCCACUAGAAGUGAAAGAAAUCGCUACUGGAAGUGAAGGUUACUCUAUCAAAGCGAUGUAGCUAAAUUGCGCCGGGUAUUGAGAGGUGUUUCCCCUACUCUACUCGUGCAAUGAUGAUCCCGACGAGUAUUGAGAGUUAUUUCCCCUGGGUACUAUUUGGUGCAGUUUGUGAUGUAUGUAUGUAUGAAUUCCAUGUUUGCUGAUGUAAGUUAUUCAAUGUAGAGUUAUGUCACAUAAUUAUGCAUAAGCACUAGUACACUAUAUUAUUAUUAUUAUUAUUUUAAUAUAUAUAAUUACAUCCACUCACUGAGCCGCAAGCUCACUAUUUUCCUAUUUACCCCUUUCCUCCUAUGAUUCCGCAGGAUUUCGUGCAGAUCAAUUCUAAUUAAUUGAGGUUGGGCCACGAGACGUAUUGCUGCAUGUCUUGCAUUUUGAGCACGUUUAUGUUGCUUAUGUUUUAUAUGUAAAUAUACAUGAAAUGUCAGUAUGUACAAUGAGACAUAAGCUAUGUAAGUUUUGAAUUCAUAUAUGGUUUCAGAAAAGGCACAGAGGUGGUUAUGUGUUUAUAGGAAAGGCCAUAUUUUAUACAUAUUUUUCAUGAAUUAAAUUUGUGCUACAAGUUUAAAUUAUUAGUCCGCACAAUUCACCUCAAUUCUAACAUGCAGUUUGGGGCGGGUCGUGUUAGAUUUGCCCUUGAGCUCAGUGGGAGCGGCUUCAUAUUCUGGAGCAAGUUUCUUGCUCUGGGGGGCCCAUGGUGCAUAAAAAGCACCAUCACAUGUUGAUUCUUGGCUAUAACAUGACUAAAAUUCUUGUCACUCGGUUUCACCGCAUCUUUUUUUUCAUCAAUUGCCGGCGGCAACUUGUGCUUUUGAUCAUUGAAACUGUUGUAAGAAUCUGAAAGUUCAACAGUGUUUCCGUAAGAGAUUGGAGGAAUUUUCUUGAAUACGGAAACACACAAUAUAUAGCCUCCGUCAUAAUCUAUUUUGUAAACACAGAAAGGUGAAAGACGAAAAAGAACGAACAAAAGAAAAAUUGUAGUGGAGAGCAUAAGGAGAUAAGCUUUUGUUGACAUUGUUUGAGCAGCCGGCCUUGUAUUUGAGAUCUUCAAAUAAUUGUUGGCUAAUGACAAGAGAGAAGUAAUUAAAUGCUCCUUGUAUUAUUUAUUUUCAAAGAUGCAGACAAAAGGCUAAAAAAAAUUUUUUUUAAAAGUAUUUUGACUUCUAUUCAGAAAUUACAUUAUUAACACAUUGUUGAUAGAAAAAAACCCUCUAGCUUGACAAAGCACAAUCGAUAAAGACAAGAGCCACGUCUCUAUCUCAUAAAACCAGUGUUUUUGUAAACAUCACUAUGGAACAGUACUGUCACCGAAUCUUGAUCAUCUCUUAUUACAAUCUUUAAAAUGCAUCUGCUUGGACUUCGUAUUAAAAACUUUCUGUAUGUGAAUGGAAUGACUACAUUUGUUCGCAAAUUUAAUUAACUUCUCCAAUUAGUUCUUUUUUUAUCAACUUCAGUAUUUCAGAGGCUUAUGCAGAAUUACACAAAUUUACCACUAAUCGGAGCAACAAUGUCGAAGACAUCUUGUUACAAAUAUCACAUACUGAUGGGUGUCGAAGCCAACAAAAAUAAAUUCCUACUUUAAAUAAAUUGUGUAAGUGAUUGAGCAGGGUCGUGUCCACAGAGAUCGGUAAUUAAUUAAAUCCUUUUGAAACGUAAAACGUAAAAUAGGGGAAUUGUUGACAAUAAUAAAAAUCAAAUUAAAAUAAAAAGAAUGCAAAUUAAAGUUGUAAUUCAAAUUAGAGAAAGCUCUGGUUGAAGGAAUUAACUCAGCUUGAUUCGACUACUGAUCAUUGAUUCAAAUAUAGAUUAUUAUUACUCAUGAAUAGACCGGUUAUAGCUACUGAGACCCUCUAAUAGCCAAUCUCUCCUUAACUAGUCGAUAACCAAGGUACGACCGUUGGUUAUUUCCCUAAUCAAUAGACAACCCUAGAUUCGAUCAUAGAAUUUAAUCAAUUGAUAGCCUGAAAAACCAGAGAGACCCAAAUCCUAAUCAACACAUAUGAUGAUUCAUUUAAAUUAGAUUGUUUAUUCUCACAACACAACUCUCUGCUAUGUUAUUUGUCACAAGCAUUAAAUUCUUCAUACGAUGAAUCCUUUAAUUGACAAUAGAUUAAGUUGAUAAUUAAAUAGUGGCCAAUUACCUAAUUAACAAACAUAAUCAUGAAACUAAUUCAGAGAAUAAACAAAUACCCAAAAAGCAAUAAAACAAUUAAAGCACAAGAAAGAUCUCACAGUAGUGAUGAAUCAAAGCUUCGUUAUCCUUCAACCAGAAAAAUAGGUUUAGUUCUUCAUAGAGAAGAGAGAAAAAUUAAAUCUAGGGUUUCUUUCUUUUUCUCCAAUCCAAAAAUCCCCCCUUUCUUUCACAAUAGAUUCCUCCUUAAAUACUCUCUCUCUCUUCUCUUUUAGAGUUCUAUUUAAAAUAAAAUACUAAUAUCUUAAAUAUUAAAUUCGUAAUUACAAAAAUAGCCAAAAAUACAAAACACGUUAAACUAAAAACUGCAGGUCCGCAGUUGACAGCACGCGCCCACGCCUUAUCAAUAAAGUUCUUCUGCCGCUCAUAAUUUCUCCAAGAGAACAAUCAUCCUUAAAAAUCAUCUUGUAGCUCAAUUUUAUCACCAAUCAAUAGAAUUGCACCUACAAAAGUAAAACACAAGUAAAUCAUUAUUAUUAAGUGCAAAACAUCGAUAUUAAGGGAAGUAAACAAUGCAAAACUAGUGCAUAAAUUGCACUCUAACACAUACUAAUGAAAACUUGCUUCUCUUGCUUCCUUAUUUCAAUUGGGACUAGAGUGACAUUUCUUCUGAGUUCAAAAAGGGGAAACAUCUCUGUGUACCGUUUGUGUCACGUUCUCUUAAUAGAAAAAUAUAACCCCAAAAGUUCUUGAUUUUGGUAGUUUGGUCUUUGUAUUAGAACUUGCAACCUGUUUCAUGAGAAAAAAUAAUAAAAAAUUGCUCUUAUUUUUCUUGCUAUCUAACAAGGUGCUUGACCAUUUUGGUUACCAAUUGAUGUUUAUCUAUUGAAUGCGGUUAUCAAUGAGUUAAAUGAAUAUAAUUAAAGGUCUGAUACAUAUUUUUAUAUAUAGAAUAUAUGCCAUAAUUUAAUGUGACCUCUGCCGUACUCGGAGCAAAAGAAACCCUUGUUAAUGGCUGCAUGUUUAUACAACUCCUCAAUGCAAGCGAGAUCGCAAACGACGUCGUCCCAGUUGUGGCAUAACAGCAUCGUCACCUCGACUUCCUCGAACCUCCCUUGCAAAUCCCUCGACACGCGCAACAACUCCAGUACGGUCACCACACGUGGCCUUGGCACCAUAUUUAUUUAUUUAUUAAUUCUAUUAAAUCCCAUUUGAUUUAAAUUAAAAAAUAAUUAAAAUAAAAGUCACGUUACUUGUUCUUGUGUUAUAGGGGCCCACCUUGUAAAAUAACACAAGGUCCCUUACAGUUAUAGUUAUCUUACUUAUUAAUCUACUAGUGGUGCAGUCAAUUAAAUAAGCUAACCCGGAGAUCAUUUGGGAACAUACAAUAGUAGCUAUAAUAAUUAGGCAUGUAAUUAAACUAGCCCAAUUAUUUAAUUCCAAAUCUACUCCACUAAAAGAUUGGAACUGACCUCUAUAAUUGUAUACUCGAAUAAUAAUUCGUCCCAAGACACAUCGAUUUCUUUACUGCAUAAUCCUUUGUACCACAUCAUUAAUUAAAUCGAUAUCUUAAUUGUCCAAUUGAUUUAAUUACAUCUUAUUCCUUGAUACUUAUUGGUUUUCUCUAAUGAUCAUUUUCAACAUACUAAAUAUGUUGACACACUCUGGCUAAAGAAUUCUAUGAUCAAGUGCCGAAAAUCCAUCAAGAGAUGUGUUGUACAAAUUCUAUAUUGUUAAUCUAUAACUCCAAUACUCAUAAUUGCUCCCACCAAGAUACCGGGUAAUCUUGACCACAAUUGUGUGUCAUGCCCAUUUGUAACUCAAAUAGAAUAACAAUUACAAUCAUGAAAUCAUAACUAACUUAAUAUUAAGAUUACAGUAAAAUCAAUGCCUAUGAGAUUUAAUAAGUCUGACAGUUAUUUGAAGGUUAAUUAAAUCUCAUAUGUGAUCUAGUUCAAUGUAGUCAAACUACAUCAGUAAAUUCAUAUAUGAUUAAGAUAAAUUAUUCAAUGAAUUUACUACAGUCUAAACAUAAAUAGAGCGCCCAACUCUAUUUAUUAGCUACGAAUUUAAUUUAUUUAAUCAUAAGAUGACUUGUAUUUAUGUCUUCUGUGAAUCCAUAUGAUGAUUACAUAAAUACAUAUAAUAUGAUUAAACGAGCCUUAUUCAAAAUAUUAUACAAUUGAAAAUAUCUCAAAUAUUUUAUUAAUCAGAAAAUAAAUUAAUAUGCUUUAAAAGAGCAUAUAAUCCCAACACUAUAGCCCCACCCAAGGACUCAGAAUAUAAAAAAGCGGGCAAAUCCGGUGCAUGUCUCGAAAUGACAUACCAUAUGUAAUGCUAAUUAUUUGGGAUGAAAUUUAAAAUAAAAUAAAUUUAGUAUGCUUACUCUUGCAUAAAACCUUUCUUUUUUUUUUUGGUAGAGUUAUUUUGGAACUAAUAAUUUAAUUUAUAAAUAUAUUUUUGUUUUAUCAAUAAUAACAUUUAAUUUGCAACUGCUGGGGAUUCCUAUUCCCUAGUGUUGGCUCGAGGAGAGCUUGGCAACAACCAUUGCAACGAAUCUAUGACAAGUUUUAUCGUGACAAUUACUUGUUAAUUGAUUUCUUUGCACUUGAUAUACAAUACAUAUCAUAUUAUAUCAAUUUUAAAGCUAUAUACUAAGAAUUCUAACAUAAUCAAAUGCAGAUAGGAGCAAUUAAUUGACAAUCAACACGCCAAUUGGAAAAGUUAAACAUGUGUAAGGAAUUUGUUGAGUAUCCGCAACAUAGUAGAAAUAUGGUAAAGUUAUGAUAAGACAACUGUGACAAAAUAAUAUGUCAAUAUUCAAUUAUUGAAUAUAAAUAAUGACUAUAUUUGGUAUUGAGAUGUUAUGAUAUAAAAAAAUGAUAAAGUAUGAAUACGUAAUAAUUUUGAAAGUUAUUAUGACUUUUUAUUAUAUAGAUAAAACAAAUUUGGUUUUUAGAUUAUAGCAGUAAGUAUUUAUUAAGCUAAUUAGAGUUAGAAUUUAAAAGCUAUUGUUUCCAACAAUAAUUAAGCAUGGCGAAUAUCUAAAAACAAGUCUAUUAGAAAAUUUUUUAUUUCUACAAAAUAAAAAAUGCAUGUGCUAUGCAAUUUUUAAGGAUUUGAAGUUACCGCUGCAGAGGAAAUAAUUUGUUUGCAUCCUUUAUUCAAACAGCUUUAGGCUUUUUAUAAGAGCCAAUUGGAAACACGCAAUCUACACUAGUAACUGCACUUGGAACAACAAAAGACACCCUAGACAAUAACACAUGAAAUACGAGAAAUAAUAGGAAACAUGGGUAAUAAUUUUGCACACAUAGUUAAUAGACCACUUGUUGAGCGCCCAUUUAUUUCAAAGCUCUUAUUACUAAGUCCUAGACUCCUCUUCUCAAGCACAUGGCUAUCAGGUACGUGGGAAGCUUGUUAAAUGCAUGGGUUCUUGCUCGUCUUUGGGAGACAUAUCAGCAUGCUUGGAAAGAGAUACACGCAAGACAAUCAACACAAGAUUUGCUUUAUUUCUAGGACGCAUGGCCAAGCACUCUACUUAUAGAACUCCAUAACCCAGAAAUUACCAAUAGCACGUUCACAACUCAUCCCACUAAAACCAGCGCCAGUAGCCAGGGUCAUGAAUUCAUGCCUUGUUCUCUCCUUUCCACCGGGACAAUGAAUCAUCAUAAGCACGUCAAAAUGGGAAUUUGAUUUUGAUUCAAUGCUUGUAUUAGGAACUUCUGGAAGCAUUGACUCCACAACGAUUACCUUUCCAUCUUCCGGAAUGCUUUUGCAGCAAUUCUUCAACAACUUCAAGCAAUGUUCAUCAUUCCAAUCGUGCAGUAUCCACUAUAUAAAAAUUCUCAUAUUAAUCAAACUAUUGUUCGUAAAAAUUUAAUUUAAGGAACUCCUCAUAAUAUGUCCACAAAUUAAAUUAAAAACUUACCUUCAUAAAAAUGGCAUCACCUUUUGGAACACUUUGGAACAUAUCACCCCGCACAUGCUCAAUGCCUGUAAAAUAUUAUCCAAUUAAGAAAUCAAACAAUUAGAAUUAUGCCACUCUAUUUUCAUUAGCAAGAUGUAUUACGUCAAGAACUGUUUGCUCAAACUUAAUUAUGCCAAUGUUAUGGAAGUUCUUGAUAUACAGGCACACACAACAGAUGUCCUCAUUUUUUUAAAUAUAAAUUUGGAGUUUUACAAGAUUUUCACAAUAGUAAACCACUGAAGAAUUAUACACACGCAUAUAUGAGAGCAGGUUCAAGGGAUUUUUUUUAAUACAAUUUUACAUAUAAAUUUCUAACAAUUAGGUUAAAGUUUAUCACAUGGUUAAUAUUAAAACUGCAUGCAGUUUUAUAAUUCGAAAAAUUAAUUAACUAGACGCAAGUCCAUAUGUCAAACAAUAAACGUGAAACACGAUGCUCUUUCCUCUCUCUUAUCAUCUUAAUUUAUUUAAACUAAGUAAUUUCAUUCAAAGAUUGAAAUUACACUUCAUUUCGGAGGAAGAUCUUCCAAUCAAAUUACAGGCAACUUAAAAUUAAAAGCUGCCUUAGUUAACACGAGUAUGCGUGUUGCAGGCUCUUCGGAUGAACUGAAUUCUAAAUCAGCAUUGUCCUUAAUUUCCUCUUGAAUGUCCAACAAUACUUAAAAGAUUUCCUUUGCUUGACAUCAUGUUUAGGACAUUCAUAUAUUUCUCUUUUUAACUUAUGUGCUCAUCUCCUUCAAUCCUCCCUCUACUCAUUAUAAAACAUUUUUUUUUAUUCCGAUGGCUGUUGGAUGGAUGUUACUACUACAAAUUAAAAUAUAGUACUUCCCUAGUUCUCUGUAUGUUUACUUUAGUUAUCCAGUAAAUCGAAACGUGAUUAGAUGACUAUGCUUUGUUAAUCUUUAAAAAAAUAUAUGUAGAAACAAUUGCCAACAUUUUUUUUCCAAUAUUUACAUUUGGUUUAAUAAAAAAAUUUAUGUAGAUAACAUCUUUUUUUAUGGCUACAUGGAUGUGUACCUUAGUUCACUGGUAAUUUAGAGGGAGAAAUAAAGGGUAAUACAAAGGUGAGAGAAAAAUAUUUUACUUAUACUAUUAAAUUUAAUAAUAUGGCACCUAUGCGAAUUAAUUAGUUUUUUAAAAUAACAAAAUUACACGUGAGCUUUAAUAUUAAUCCUUGGAUGAACUCUAUUAGAAAGAAAUUUGUUUCUAAAAGUAUCUUUUUUAAACUUGCCCCCAAAAUAAGGAAUCUUCUAAAAAAAAGGAAAAAAGAAAACAAACAUUCCAAGUAUUAUCCUUAGUUUAUCCUUUAUUUUAAUAAAGUAAGGAAGCCUUAUAUAUAUAUAUAUAGAUAGUAAUGAUCUAAUCCAAAAUUUUGGGUUUUGUUAAAAACCGAAAAAAUUCAUAAUUUCAAAUGGUUCAAUAGUCCAUUAUACUAUUAAAUCAUAUGACUUACUAGAUUUUUUGGACUUUAACAAAAUUUGUGUAGUGAGAGAGAGAGAGAGAGAGUCCUUCUCUAGUAAGGAAAUCUUCACUUUUUUAAAAUGAGAAUGUUACUAAAAUAUAAAAAAAACACAUAUUUCAAUACAGUAGAAAUUGUGUUUUUUUUUAAUUUAUUAGUAGCAUUCUCAAUUUAACAAAGUGAAACAUAUAUAUAUAUAUAUAUAUAUAUAUAUAUAUAUAGUCCUUCUUUAAGGUGGGUGCCCUUAUUUUUUUUUUUAAAUGAGGACACGCUAUUAAACCGUACGAUUUAACGGUGUUCUUCAUUAAUUCUAUUAAAUCGCACGGUACAACAAAGUGUUUGCAUUAAAAAAAAAUGAGGGUGCCCGCCCUAGCGAAUGGCUAUAUAUAUAUUUAUGAGAGUUGUUGCACUUUAAUAAAGUGCAAGAAAAUUGUUACCGCAUAUGGUAUAAUAGUGUAAUGUCCCAACAAGUACUCGUAUAUAUAACAUGAGAUUAAUAAUCAUACGUGGAUGUGGUGGGGCAUGGUCAAUAACAUGAGGCUGGUCGAAAUUGAUGCCCUUAAUAUAGGGGUACUUGGUAGUGAUGGCUUGAAGAGUAUCGCCGAGAUUGCCACCAACAUCGACCAGUUGCUUGAUGUUGUCGAAGCCCUUGUAAGAUUCAAGAAUGUUGCUCAAAACCAGGGAGGUAUAGUUAUACAUUGCUGUGUUAAAACGUUUAUUGAACUUAGGGUCCAAUCCUGUGUACUCAAAUAUAUGCACUCCAUGGGCUCGAUUAAAUGGAAUUCCUCCUUCAAGAAUAGCAUCUUUGAGUUGGGACC
rnacentral:lncRNA from 1 species